rnacentral:rRNA from 1 species
UACGUAGGGCGCAAGCGUUGUCCGGAAUUAUUGGGCGUAAAGCGCGUGUAGGCGGCUUUGCAAGUCGGGUGUGAAAGCCCUCAGCUCAACUGAGGAAGUGCGCCCGAAACUGCAGAGCUUGAGUGCCGGAGAGGGUGGCGGAACUCCCCAAGUAGAGGUGAAAUUCGUAGAUAUGGGGAGGAACACCGGUGGCGAAGGCGGCCACCUGGACGGGUAACUGACGCUGAGACGCGAAAGCGUGGGGAGCAAACAGG